CGGAGGACCUGGUGGGAGCGGACCGCAGUGUCAGCGCUGGGCGGCUCCGCCUCUCCCUGGCUCCAGAUUGAGGCUUGAGCUGUCCUGCCCUGAUUUGUGCUGAGAAGAGGGUCUCCUCCUGCAGUGGACUCUGUCAGACCCCACCUAGACCCGCUCCAAGACCCAGACACUCAUCGCCAGCUGCCAGGAGCACCAGUCACAGCUGGCUCAGAGCUGAAACCCCCCGCACCCAGGAGUCACCUUCAGUGGGGAGCAUGCCCCAGUCUGCCUCUGCAGGCAAAUCCCCAGCUCAGAGCCUGUGUCCAGGAAUCCCCAGGCUCUCAGCCCACCCUGGCCUCCUGAGUGAGGUCAUCAGAAGGAUGAUCAGAGGGGGGUCGAUACACGUGUGCUCAGUGUCAGGCCUCUGAGCCCAAGCCUGCACGUAUACAUCCAGAUGAAGCAAGUGAAGAAUCACAAAAGAAGUGAAAAUGGCCGGUUCCUGCCUUAACUGAUGACAUUACCUUGUGAAAUUCCUUCUCCUGGCUCAGAAGCUCCCCCACUGAGGCACCUUGUGACCCCCACUCCUCCCCGCCACAGAACAACCCCCUUUGACUGUAAUUUUCCACUGCCCGCCCAAACCCUAUAAAACGGUCCCACCCCAUCUCCCUUCCCUGACUCUCUUUUCUUCGGACUCAGCCCGCCUGCACCCAGGUGAAAUAAACAGCCUUGUUGCUCACACAAA